GAAGAGUUUGAUCAUGGCUCAGAUUGAACGCUGGCGGCAGGCCUAACACAUGCAAGUCGAACGGUAACAGGAAGCAGCUUGCUGCUUUGCUGACGAGUGGCGGACGGGUGAGUAAUGUCUGGGAAACUGCCUGAUGGAGGGGGAUAACUACUGGAAACGGUGGCUAAUACCGCAUAACGUCGCAAGACCAAAGAGGGGGACCUUCGGGCCUCUUGCCAUCAGAUGUGCCCAGAUGGGAUUAGCUUGUUGGUGAGGUAACGGCUCACCAAGGCGACGAUCCCUAGCUGGUCUGAGAGGAUGACCAGCCACACUGGAACUGAGACACGGUCCAGACUCCUACGGGAGGCAGCAGUGGGGAAUAUUGCACAAUGGGCGCAAGCCUGAUGCAGCCAUGCCGCGUGUAUGAAGAAGGCCUUCGGGUUGUAAAGUACUUUCAGCGGGGAGGAAGGUGUUGUGGUUAAUAACCGCAGCAAUUGACGUUACCCGCAGAAGAAGCACCGGCUAACUCCGUGCCAGCAGCCGCGGUAAUACGGAGGGUGCAAGCGUUAAUCGGAAUUACUGGGCGUAAAGCGCACGCAGGCGGUCUGUCAAGUCGGAUGUGAAAUCCCCGGGCUCAACCUGGGAACUGCAUUCGAAACUGGCAGGCUUGAGUCUUGUAGAGGGGGGUAGAAUUCCAGGUGUAGCGGUG
rnacentral:rRNA from 1 species